rnacentral:rRNA from 1 species
UACGGGGGGGGCAAGCGUUGUUCGGAAUUACUGGGCGUAAAGGGCUCGUAGGCGGCCAACUAAGUCAGACGUGAAAUCCCUCGGCUUAACCGGGGAACUGCGUCUGAUACUGGAUGGCUUGAGAUUGGGAGAGGGAUGCGGAAUUCCAGGUGUAGCGGUGAAAUGCGUAGAUAUCUGGAGGAACACCGGUGGCGAAGGCGGCAUCCUGGACCAACACUGACGCUGAGUGGGCGAAAGCCAGGGGAGCAAACGGG